CUCGCGGAUCAGUCACCCAAGCGAG
rnacentral:misc_RNA from 1 species